GACGAAGGUGGCUAGCGUUGUUCGGAAUCACUGGGCUUAAAGAGCACGUAGGCGGCCCAUCAAGCGUCUUGUGAAAUCCCUCGGCUCAACCGAGGAAUUGCUUGGCGAACUGGUGGGCUUGAGGCAGGCAGGGGCGAGUGGAACUCUUGGUGGAGCGGUGGAAUGCGUAGAUAUCAAGAGGAACGCCAGCGGCGAAGGCGACUCGCUGGGCCUGUCCUGACGCUGAGGUGCGAAAGCCAGGGGAGCGAACGGGAUUAGAUACCCCCGUA
rnacentral:rRNA from 1 species